rnacentral:rRNA from 1 species
AGCGAACGCUGGCGGCAGGCCUAAACAUGCAAGUCGAACGGAUCCUUCGGGGAUUAGUGGCGGACGGGUGAGUAACACGUGGGAACGUGCCUUUGGUUCGGAACAACUCAGGGAAACUUGAGCUAAUACCGAAUGUGCCCUUCGGGGGAAAGAUUUAUCGCCAUUAGAGCGGCCCGCGUCUGAUUAGCUUGUUGGUGAGGUAAAGGCUCACCAAGGCGACGAUCAGUAGCUGGUCUGAGAGGAUGAUCAGCCACACUGGGACUGAGACACGGCCCAGACUCCUACGGGAGGCAGCAGUUAGGAAUCUUGCGCAAUGGGGGAAACCCUGACGCAGCCAUGCCGCGUGAAUGAUUAAGGUCUUAGGAUUGUAAAAUUCUUUCAGCGGGGACGAUAAUGACGGUACCCGCAGAAGAAGCCCCGGCUAACUUCGUG